GUCAAAGUUUCGUGUGUUUAAACUUUAAAUAGAGUCCGUAAAGUUGUUCUGAGUAUGUGAGAAAAACAAUACAAUUUGAAAUGAAAUCAAACAAGAGAAGAAUGUCUAACGACAUUUUAGACAUAUAAUCCUCUCAACAGGCAACAGUGCAGUAAUCAAUUUCCUCAUACGUUACCUGAGCAAUAUCACUUUCUAAUUUUCCCCUACAUAAACCCUACUAGAGGUAUAUCUUACCAUGUUUCAGACACAUACUCUCUCUAACACUGCUAGAUUUAGAUUGUUGUAUUAAGAAAAGAGGUGCCAUCCAUCUGAGAUUUUUGUGGAGAUUAUCGUUGCGUUGCACGCAAGCAUCCAUCUCAGGAAUAAAUGGUGUUGUUUAUGUGUUCGAUAUAUUUUCAUCGUCAAUCAAUUUAGCUGGAUAACCUGUACAGCGAACAAGGUGAAAACGACUCCUCGCAUGCAACUGAUGGAAUCAAUUUUCUGGAUAAUACUGCUAAAAAGUGUUGAAACUUUGUGAAUGUGAUGUCAUUUACUAGAUGAAUUUGGAACCCUUGGAGGAUGCAUCCUCAUCUUUUUUGGAGAGAUGAGGUUGAACAGUGACUGAAAAUUGCUUUCAUGGCAAGCCUUGCACGUCUGCAGUUGGAUCAAUGUCAAAAUAACUGCAAGCUUUUUAGUAAGUCCCUAGAAUUGUGCAUUUGUGGAUGAAACUUUGGCAUCUAAAGCACAACGACAACUAAAUAAGUACUCAUUUAUUAUGCUUCCCAUUUGGUAUUAGCUUUUCUCUUUGUUAUAUGGAAUGCAGAAAUUGAAUACUCUCAAAGAAUACGUAUCUGUAUUCUUGCAAAUUUUUAUCUCACCGAUCUUGUUGUAACAAACAUUUGUUUUAUCAGCAACUAAAACCUUUGUUUAAUUUCAUUUACAAUUCAUUUUUUGCAUUAUCUAGAAUAUUAAUCGAUCAUGUAAGAGAAUCAUUUGUUUGGACAAAAGUCAUUUUUGCUAAACUUUGUAACUCCAAGUCGCAGGUUGUUUGCAUUGAAUCUAUUCGAGUUUGGUAAGAGUUUUUAACCAAAGUGACUGUUUGUAUAUGGAUUAUUCAUCUAAAUUUUUUUGUUUGUAUAUGGAUUAUUCAUAUAAUUUUUUUAGAAGAUUUGCCAAUAUAUCACCCCAUUGCUGAAUUGGUGGAAUCAUUAGUUAAUUGCAUAAACUUAUCAAUGGCUUCCCACUACUUAACUUGAAACACGUCAAACAGAAAGUUAGUUGCAGGACGUCGUGCUGCGAUCGAUAGUUGAAUGCAGGUGACUGCUUAUUGUUUUGAAAUGCCUAUCAUUACCAUAUUCAUACAUAGGUUCCAUCUCUAUGCUUUAUAUUCAUUUUUAGCACAAAUUAGCAGUGAAUUAUUGUCAUAUAAUCAUUUGAUCCCUGAAAAGGGGAAAAUCUCCCUAUUACAUUUGCAUUCUACGCUAGCAACAUUCAAAAGCAUGUGCUUCUAUUAGGUAUACUAACCCUCUUUAGCUGAACUCAUGCGAGUUUUACAAGAUGGUUAUGUGGUAGUUGCUCUAGAUGAGAUUGGUAAAUCCCCUGUAAUAACUGAAUUAAGAGCUGGAAAUGAUAAAGUUGGUGUUACUAUUACUAUUGGAACUGUUGCUUAUGUAGCUCUUCGAAUUGUUAUAUAUGCAUGUAUUCUAUCCAGAAAUUUUUAUCAGUAAAUGUUGGUGCAUUAAGUACUCCCUUGGGCUCUGAGUCAAAACAUUAUUUAGAUUAGAAAUGGUAUACACAUUGCCUAUCCUAUUAGGUCAGCCGCUGAAUGCUUAGUUUCCUUAGCAUCUAAAUUUGUCAACAUUGUUCAGUGUAUCUUCUUUCAUUGUAGCCCUUGAAAAUAUUAAUGCCUUUAUCAACACCCACUGAUAUAUACUUGAUAAUUUUGUGAUUGUUCCUCUUUUAAUGGAUACAACUCUGAGAAUGUCCUCAUGAUAUUUUGGUGUGGUGGUUUACCGUCAAAUAUCUAUUGAAAAAUCACCCAAGGUCUCUUCUUUCUAGGCAUCAUUUCUCUGCUGAAUAUUAUGUUCAGGAAUUUUUUGAAAAUCACCCUAGGUUUUUUCGCUUCUUCAAUUUCACAUUGAGACUAAUUUUGGAUCUUGCUUUACAGUCGAGUCUGUUUAAAGUUUAUAUUUUGUUCAUCUUCAACAAGAAUGACAUGUUACUGGGAAUAUGCAGAGCAACAUAGUGAAACUACUUUUAAGUAUGAUUAAAAUGUUGUCUUUUUGUCUGUUCGUUUCUGUAGUUUGAUUUUGUUAAUGUAAUUUUUCAUUUGUAUUGGUUGCCAUUUUGGUUUACCUUGCUAUUUUUUUUGAAGAAAAUCAGGGCAAAAUUUAUCUUAAAGUUGUUCAAUGCCUAUUUAUAUUUUUAAUGGAUCAAGGAAAUGAA